CUGCAUCUCUCUAACCUCACCCUCCAUUUUGGGCUAAUCCACUUUGCUUCUUCCUUGGGACUGGGCUGCUCCAGGUACCAUUGAGAAUGGACUCCAUGAUGCUAUGAUCUAAGAGUGCUCACUGCAUCAGCUUGGGCUGGGGGAACUAUCACUGCACAGGAUUAGGGAUUCUGUGUCUCCUGCUGCAGGUUAACCUCUGGAGAAAGAACUUCUCUCUAACCUAACCUGCCAUCUGUGGGACUAAUCCAUCUGUUGCCUAAUCCUCCUGGCUGAUCCCUACCUUAAACAUAAGGAAAGACUUUGGUUCUCCUAAAACAGGUCCCUGUCUCUUGAUCUGAGAAGCCUGAACUUGGACACAAUAUUCCAGGUGUGUUCUCAGUAGGGCAGAGUAGAAGAGCAGAACUUCUCUACACCUGCUGGAUAGACUUCUUGAUGUACUCCAGGAUGCCACUGGCUCGCUUGCCUACCAGGGCAUAUUGCUGUUCCAUGGAGAACUUGCUGUCCACCAGGACUCCAAGGUGGCCUUACACAGGAAACUACAGUUUUCUUACCAUGAAUUAUUAGCACACUUACAAGAAUCCCUUCCAUGCCAUGUGGGUAGGAAAGGUGUUUCUAAAAGUUACUGACUUUUGUUCUGGAUCUGUAUAAUAUCAGGUAGUGAAUAAUGCAGGCAGAAAGAAAGGAUCAAUUUAUUUCAAGAGAAAAUAGCAAAGAAUUUUAGCUGACAGCUCUUGCUUAUGGGAAUGUAUUUUUGUAUGGCAGUUAUGAGACUGUGCUGUUACUCCUCUGUGUGAUGAUAUAUGUAGGCGUUUGUAUGAAGGAAGAGCAAAAUAUGGGUUACUUAAACAAGAAGGUUUCUUCAGAUAUAAAUUACUUGAACUGUGUUCAUCUGCUGCAAACAAGGUCAUAGGUGAAUGUACACUAGAAGUAGAAAGAUUACUUUAUAAUGGAACUUCAAGUAGCAGUCUUUAUCAUGUUUGUUUAUUUACUAGCUUUCAUAGUUCAACAAUAAAGCUGAAGGAUAGAAGUUACAAAACAUCCUAAGGGUUUGCAGAAAGAAUAUGGAAAAAUGGUAGGAAUUUAAAGGAAAAAAGGAAUUCUAUCCUGAAAAGUUGUGGGCAGUGGGGG